GCUUAAAAAUUAAGUUAAAACAAGUGGACCAAUAAAAAGGUGACAUGUGUCAAAAAUUUAAUAUUUUUAUAUUGCCAUUUAAAAACCAGCCCACACUCUUCCACUCAGCAUUUCAAGGCCGACCAGCACCUGCAGAAAAGAGAAGAAAAGAAAAGAAAAACCCUAGGGAGGAAAAACUAAGGAAAAUUUGUUGAAUUUUCAAGAAAUUGGUGACUAAAGGUGGUGAGCCCUCGGAUAAGGGCAAAGGUAUUGCACCCGAGGAUCGAGACUAGGAGUGUUGUAAAUUCCCGUCAAAGUGAGUAACCACUGUUCAUCUUAUCUAUCUAAAGUAUUUUUACAAUCGAUUUUAUGAUUUUAAGAAUAUUGAACCUAAAUGAAUUUUAUGUUCUAUGACUAGUAAUCGAUUUAAGGAAUAAGGUUUAUGAAUUAUUUUACAAUUCAAUAAUGUUUUUGAAAAUGAGAGUAUGUGGAGACCAACCUUUGAUGUUGCCUAUA